UACGUAGGGUGCGAGCGUUGUCCGGAUUUAUUGGGCGGAAAGGGCUCGUAGGCGGCCUGUCGUGUCGGGAGUGAAAGCCCACUGCUUAACGGUGGGUCUGCUUCCGGUACGGGCGGGCUGGAGUAUGGCAGGGGAGACUGGAAUUCCUGGUGUAGCGGUGGAAUGCGCAGAUAUCAGGAGGAACGCCGGUGGCGAAGGCGGGUCUCUGGGCCAUUACUGACGCUGAGGAGCGAAAGCGUGGGGAGCGAACAGG
rnacentral:rRNA from 1 species